rnacentral:rRNA from 1 species
GGGGGUUUCGGCCCCUCAUAAUUAGUCUGUGGAAGGCUCAUUAUAUCAGUUAUACACCUAGCCGCUGGAAGAAUUAUUAGGAUACCACCGUUAACAGCAGCGAUAAUACUUGCGUCUUACGAUCGGGUUUUCUGGGCAUUCUGAAUGAUCCGGAUAAACACACUUGAUUGCUUAACGGCAGUCAAGUACCGACCGCGAGGUGAUUAAACGAGUCCAAUUCUGGAUGAGUGUAUACCGGCGGCCUGGCAGAGGUGUUUCUUACCUAUCAGCAAGAUGUUUGUGUAAAGGACAAACAUGGCAUUGACGGGUACGGGGAAUUAGUGUUCGAUUCCGGAGAGGGAGCCUGAGAGAUUGCUACCACAUCUAAGGACGGCAGCAGGCGCGCAAAUUGCCCAAUUCUCAAGGGGAGAGAGGCAGUGACAAGCUAUAGUGACCUAACAUCGAACGAUGGUAAGGUAGCAAUUCCCGAAAGGGGGUUGUUUUUCCAUGGGAGGAGUUUAAAACACUCCUCGAGCAGCCAUUGGAGGAAAAGUCUGGUGCCAGCACCCGCGGUAAUUCCAGCUCCAAGAGCGUAUAUUAAUACUGCUGUAGUUAAAACGCCCGUAGUAGGUUUAAUGGGAAUAUCCAUACAUUCCUGCUCAUUGUUGUGUGUGUAACUUGCGGGUAACACUGCGAGUGAUAGCAUACGAUGAGCCUCGCGAGAUUGGUUUAUGCCAUGAUUCGAGGUUGUAUGGGUAUUUCUGUUCCCUGUUGUUCGCAACAGGAGGCCACUGCCUUUUGCACCUGUGAUAAAAUUGUUAUGCUUAAGGUCGGCUUUGUCAACAAGCUAGAGCAUCCUAGCA